rnacentral:rRNA from 1 species
GUGGGGAAUAUUGCGCAAUGGGCGAAAGCCUGACGCAGCGACGCCGCGUGAGGGAUGAAGGUUUUCGGAUCGUAAACCUCUGUCAGAAGGGAAGAAACUACGUUGUGCUAAUCAGCAGCGUACUGACGGUACCUUCAAAGGAAGCACCGGCUAACUCCGUGCCAGCAGCCGCGGUAAUACGGAGGGUGCAAGCGUUAAUCGGAAUUACUGGGCGUAAAGCGCACGUAGGCUGUAGUGUAAGUCAGGGGUGAAAUCCCACGGCUCAACCGUGGAACUGACAUUGAUACUGCACAACUUGAAUCCGGGAGAGGGUGGCGGAAUUCCGGGUGUAGGAGUGAAAUCCGUAGAUAUCCGGAGGAACACCGGUGGCGAAGGCGGCCACCUGGACAGGUACUGACGCUGAGGCGCGAAAGCGUGGGGAGCAAACAGGAUUAGAAACCCUGGUAGUCC